AUACUUACCUGGACGGGGUCAAUGGAUGAUCAAGAAGGUCCAUGGCCUAGGUUGGUGACUUCCAUUGCACCUAGGAGGGGUGCCCACCUAAGGUCUCCUCAUUGUAGGAGAGCCUACGUCAUAAUUUGUGAUAGUAGGGGCCUGCGUUCGCGCGGCCCCUUU